UGAUUUUUUUUCAAAGCGUGAUUUUGUUUUAAAUUAUUACAAGGAGUAACCGAACAAAACGGUACUCUAAAAAGUAAACGACAAGAAAAAAAGGGAAAAUGCAAGAAUGCGCGCGGUCUUUUUCGCUUCUUUUGCAUUUCUCGCCACUUGCAUUUUGAUUUUCAUUUGAAAUACAUAGCUGGUGCCUCUGUGAUUUGUGAAAUUAAUAUAUUCUUUGCGGUUUUAAUUUUCAAGUAAGUAUGUUGAUAUAAACAAACUAAAUAGGAGUUCCAAUACUGUUAAUAAAAUAACAUGAACCAAACAAUGGAUUAAUUACAACAAUAAGUGAUGUGUACCUGUGCCAAAAAAAUAUUAAAUUUAUAAACACUUAUUAACAGUCUUAAAAACAGUGUACGGUCAAAACACAUAUAAGCAAAUUGUUCCUAAAACUGUGUGUGGCUGUUAAUCAAACAAAUAAAAAGAAUUAUUUUUUUGAGCGUACACUGCAAUAAGACUUGAGUUUUAAUUUAUUUAAUGCGUUUUAAAUAUUAUUUUCGUUUAAUUCCAGAAAAACUAUUUCAAAACAAAAGGGUGGACUUACAUCUACAUACAAGUAGUGUUUUUUAGGGUGGACCUAAGAACACAAAUUAAGUGAACAAAAAUAUCUUCAGUAGGAUAUUAAGUCCAAGUUUGAUAAUGGAGCUUAAUUAUGACGGUACUAGGCACAGGGAAGGUUUUGCGUUCUACAUUCAUUUUAAUGAAACAUUAUUCGAGUCACAAAGAAGAGACGGUUACCGCUUCACAGACCAUAUUAAAGACCUUCGACUGGCCUUCACUAGGGCCAAAAAUAAAACUUAUAAGGCUAAAAGUAUGGCCAAAAGUUUUAAAG